rnacentral:tRNA from 1 species
GCCUGGCUGGCUCAGUCAGUAGAGCAUGAGACUCUUGAUCUCAGGGUCGUGAGUUCAAGCCCCAUGUUCGGGG